GAUAAAAUGGCUGAAGAUAGGCAAUAAAUUGUAAAUUUAUUAAUGAAAAAUAAUUUCUUUUAUCA
rnacentral:tRNA from 1 species